GUCGACGGUGACUCGAAGUGA
rnacentral:siRNA from 1 species